CUGAGCCUGCUGGUCUUCAAAGUCUUGGUCUUGCUCACCAACGUUCGACUCACCGUCUAUUCCCAAACAUCAACCAACAACACGCAAUCCAAUGGAGACAAUCAUACACAAAGCAAACAAGAUGUAAUUAGAACAAUACACCAAACAGUGGUAAAUAAAAGAUAAAAGUUUAUAAAAAUGUUCUACGCAGCGCUAUGAUCAUACAAACGUAAAGUUCACGAAAAUCGAAAUUAAAACGUAGAAGAUAUGAAUUUUCUAAGAUUUCCUAUAGAGAAAUAAUUAAUUUAAUAGGAUCACGAAAUUAAAAAGUUUCAAACUGGGAAAAUAAAGUUACUAACAUGUAGAGCUAUUAAUUACGAAUCUAACGAAAUUUGAAUGGACAAAAACGGAGUUAAAACGAAUAUUUUAUGAGCAAAACAAUUUCAGUGGCAAACUUGUAAUUACUGGAAAGCGUAAUUUGCUUCAAACCGACGAAAAUACGUUUUCCAAACUGAAAAGCGUAGAGCUGAAAUUAUGCCAUGCACUGCGGGUUGAUUCCUGGAAAAGUCCAGGGACUCUUUAGCAAAACAGCCGAAGAGGUACGUUCUAAUCUCCACUGUUGAUUCAAGAUCGGACGGUUGAGAUGGAUUCCAGGGAGCCCGCGGUCGCCGGGGGCGUUCUCUACGGCGGCGCGCCAUGGCUGGGGGCUCUGAGCUUGCCGGAGUUCAUCGAUAACGCGAUUCUGAGCACGGUUUGAGGAACUAAAAGCAUGGGAGGCAAGCGGAGGGAAAGGCGAACUCACCCAGGGGGUUGGAGAAGACUCGGUGAAGGUGCUCGACGCGAGGUGGCGAUCGGCGGCCCCCUGCACACGUUCGGCGUGAAUAAAACUCCGUGAAAACUAGUAGAGAGCAAGGAGAAGGGGUCGGGGCUUCGUUGGCACGGCCACUGCUCGGAAACGCUGGCACAACUGUGGGUCGCGAGCACCACGGCAGCGGGCGUAGCUUGCGGCUCAGCAAGAUCUAGACGGCGGCGGGGUGGCUAGGGCAUAAUUUCUAAACACGUAGGGGAGGAAGAGAAGCCGCAGAAUAUGCCCAGAGGCUUUAUAGGGGUCGGAUUGGGGCUUGGUUUGGAAGUUCCCGUGAAAGCUGGGAUUCGGUGGCCGGCUCCUGAACAGAGUCCAAGCUGCUCGCGAGUUGGGGAAGAAGAAAGGAGAUCGUGACACUGACGCGCGGGCCCAGAGUGGCAGUGAGAGGAACAGCGGGGUCGGCUGUCAGGGAAAGAAGGGAAAGGUGGCGCGGGCUGGCUUCUGCCACUGAGCCUCGAGUUGGGCCGCGGAGGGGGAAAAGAGGAGUGGCGCGCUUGGGCCGGGAAGGAAAGAAAGGGGGAAGGAGGAGAGUUUAGGCCUUCGGGUCAGAAAGAGGGGUGAGUUUUCUUCUUUUCUUUUCUUUUCUUUUCUUUUCUUUUCUUUUUAUUUCAAAGUCCUUUUUAAAACAGUUUAGAAAUCAAUUUAAAAAUAUUUUGACUUUGCUCAAAUUCACACAGUACAACGAAAAUAAAUGCUCCAAUAUGAAUGCACAACAAGUUACUAAGUCCUAUAAUAAAUUUUUAUUUAAAUGAAAAUAUUAUUUUCCUAUGUUUCAUGAGCACACAAAUCCAAAAUUAAAUCAUUUUCACCUAUUUCAAAAAGGAGUAAAUUUUAGGGUAUUACAAUUAUUAUAGCAUUUUCGAUUGUAUUUGAAAAUUAUUGUUCAAUCAAGGACUAACUAGACUCAAAAGAUUCGUCUCAAAAAUUACAGGUAAACUGUGUAAUUGGUUUUUGCUUUCGUCUAUAUUUAAUACUUCAUGUAUUAAAGAUUCGACGUAAUAUGAAAUUUUGAAAAGUUUUUUGAUUUUGGGAUCAACUAAACAAGGGCUUACAUGCACAAUGCGUGGCCUAAAGAACGUGUUAUAUUUUGGUCGGUCCAUGGAUGGCCACCGGGCACGGCACAGUUCUGCCUUUGUUAUUUGUUGAGCUAGUAUUAAUUAAUUAUUUCUGAAGAAGAAUAUUAAUAUUUGCAUAUAGCACAAACUAGGCAUAAUAUGAAAAUUUGUCCGGUGACAAAUCUGAAAACAUUUAUACUUAAUAAUAGUAUAAAUUUGAUUGAUUAGAUUUACAACAGUUUGACUCGAUAUAAUUAUUAUGGUUUCUCUGA
rnacentral:lncRNA from 1 species